AAAUUGAAGAGUUUGAUCAUGGCUCAGAUUGAACGCUGGCGGCAGGCCUAACACAUGCAAGUCGAACGGUAGCACAGAGAGCUUGCUCUCGGGUGACGAGUGGCGGACGGGUGAGUAAUGUCUGGGAAACUGCCCGAUGGAGGGGGAUAACUACUGGAAACGGUAGCUAAUACCGCAUAACGUCGCAAGACCAAAGUGGGGGACCUUCGGGCCUCACACCAUCGGAUGUGCCCAGAUGGGAUUAGCUAGUAGGUGGGGUAACGGCUCACCUAGGCGACGAUCCCUAGCUGGUCUGAGAGGAUGACCAGCCACACUGGAACUGAGACACGGUCCAGACUCCUACGGGAGGCAGCAGUGGGGAAUAUUGCACAAUGGGCGCAAGCCUGAUGCAGCCAUGCCGCGUGUAUGAAGAAGGCCUUCGGGUUGUAAAGUACUUUCAGCGAGGAGGAAGGCGUUGUGGUUAAUAACCACAGCGAUUGACGUUACUCGCAGAAGAAGCACCGGCUAACUCCGUGCCAGCAGCCGCGGUAAUACGGAGGGUGCAAGCGUUAAUCGGAAUUACUGGGCGUAAAGCGCACGCAGGCGGUUUGUUAAGUCAGAUGUGAAAUCCCCGGGCUCAACCUGGGAACUGCAUUUGAAACUGGCAAGCUUGAGUCUCGUAGAGGGGGGUAGAAUUCCAGGUGUAGCGGUGAAAUGCGUAGAGAUCUGGAGGAAUACCGGUGGCGAAGGCGGCCCCCUGGACAAAGACUGACGCUCAGGUGCGAAAGCGUGGGGAGCAAACAGGAUUAGAUACCCUGGUAGUCCACGCCGUAAACGAUGUCUACUUGGAGGUUGUGCCCUUGAGGCGUGGCUUCCGGAGCUAACGCGUUAAGUAGACCGCCUGGGGAGUACGGCCGCAAGGUUAAAACUCAAAUGAAUUGACGGGGGCCCGCACAAGCGGUGGAGCAUGUGGUUUAAUUCGAUGCAACGCGAAGAACCUUACCUGGUCUUGACAUCCACGGAAGUUUUCAGAGAUGAGAAUGUGCCUUCGGGAACCGUGAGACAGGUGCUGCAUGGCUGUCGUCAGCUCGUGUUGUGAAAUGUUGGGUUAAGUCCCGCAACGAGCGCAACCCUUAUCCUUUGUUGCCAGCGGUUAGGCCGG
rnacentral:rRNA from 1 species